rnacentral:rRNA from 1 species
CUUGGCGACCAUAGCGUUUUGGACCCACCUGAUUUCCAUGCCGAACUCAGAAGUGAAACGAAAUAGCGCCGAUGGUAGUGUGGGGCUUCCCCAUGU